rnacentral:rRNA from 1 species
AGUGAACGCCGGCGGUAGGCCUAACACAUGCAAGUCGAACGGCAGCACAGUAAGAGCUUGCUCUUACGGGUGGCGAGUGGCGGACGGGUGAGGAAUACAUCGGAAUCUACUUUUUCGUGGGGGAUAACGUAGGGAAACUUACGCUAAUACCGCAUACGACCUACGGGUGAAAGCAGGGGAUCUUCGGACCUUGCGCGAUUGAAUGAGCCGAUGUCGGAUUAGCUAGUUGGCGGGGUAAGGGCCCACCAAGGCGACGAUCCGUAGCUGGUCUGAGAGGAUGAUCAGCCACACUGGGACUGAGACACGGUCCAGACUCCUACGGGAGGCAGCAGUGGGGAAUAUUGGACAAUGGGCGCAAGCCUGAUCCAGCCAUACCGCGUGGGUGAAGAAGGCCUUCGGGUUGUAAAGCCCUUUUGUUGGGAAAGAAAAGCAGCAGGUUAAUACCCCGCUGUUCUGACGGUACCCAAAGAAUAAGCACCGGCUAACUUCGUG